rnacentral:lncRNA from 1 species
GAGAAAUUUACCAAGUUGCCUCAUCUCUUAGUGUUUUGAGUCUGCUUCACCACAUUCCUAAAACAAAACGAGACCAGAAAGCUGCCUAUAAAAAGCCUCUGGCUUUUCUCCAUUAUUUAGUCAUAUCAUUUGCCUGAGACUUUCCGUUAAAUGGAAGUCAGCAGCUCUCUAGAGUCAUCCUUGAAAAUGGUUCUCCAUGCUUUGCCUCCCAUCUUGCCUGUUAAUAUUUGACAACUGUUUUGACAAGCUUAAAUGUGGAUUUGGUUGCUAAAACUCAGAGCCUGGAAAUAGAUGAUAAUCUCCAGGGAGCUCUCUAGCUGAACUUAUGCCUCGGCUAAUGUGGUCAUCAUCAGAAUCUUCUGCCAGUUUAGAUGCCAGAAAUCUCUCUUGCCACUGUGCAGACCUGCCACACUUGACUGCAAUUUCUCUGCUGCAGCUGGCCACAAAUUCUACGCUGACUUUGAUGGCUUCAGGACUGAGAUUUUGACCAUAAUGCUCUGCAGUAGUCAACAUCCAUUUGUGUCUCAG